GACGUAGGGCGCGAGCGUUGUCCGGAUUUAUUGGGCGUAAAGAGCUCGUAGGCGGCUUGUCGCGUCGACUGUGAAAACCCGCGGCUCAACUGCGGGCCUGCAGCCGAUACGGGCAGGCUAGAGUUCGGUAGGGGAGACUGGAAUUCCUGGUGUAGCGGUGAAAUGCGCAGAUAUCAGGAGGAAUACCGAUGGCGAAGGCAGGUCUCUGGGCUGAUACUGACGCUCAUGCACGAAAGCGUGGGGAGCAAACAGG
rnacentral:rRNA from 1 species